UAUGUACUUCUCUCCGUUCAAUAAAGGAUGUCUUAAUUUUGACUGAAUUUGAAUGCACCUAUUCACUAAGACAUGUCUAGAUACAUUCAAAUUUUAACAAACUUGAGACAUUUUUUGUUGGACGGAGGGAGUACAAC
rfam:Brachypodium distachyon strain Bd21 chromosome 3, whole genome shotgun sequence.